CAUCCCUUAUGUGAGAAUACUAACUUAUGUGAGAACAAAUUUAGACCCUUGAAUUAGAUUCAUCUGACGGCUCUUAUUCAACCCACCUAAUUAAGGGUAACCGGGUAAUUUCACAGCUUGAAUGACUAUCCUCAAUCUUCUCAUUUUUCAUUUUCACUUUCUCUCUCUUCAUUACAUUUUCUCUCUCCUCCUUCAUAUUCUCUCUCUGCGAAAUCGUUUUUGAGCAAUCUUCUUCGCAUUGUUGCAUCGAUCUUGCUUCAAUCUUCUUCAAUUCACUCUUCAUAUACCUUGAUUGUGGAUAAUUAAGCAUUACACAGGAGAUUUCCUUAAUUUUGGUUUGGCAGCUGAACAAGCAAAAUCUGAAGGUUACAAAGUUGAGGAACUCUAUUGAAAAGGAGUCUGCUGCCAAUGCUGGUUCAUUAGGGGCGGCUAUUGUUGAUGUUGGUUCAUCAGGGGCGGCUGCUGU